GUCUACGGCCAUGCCCCCUGAACAAGCCCCGUCCUGUCUGAUCUUGGAAGCUAAGCAGGGUCGGGCCUGGUUAGUACUUGGAUGGGAGACCACCUAGGAAGACCAGGUGCUGUAGGUG
rfam:Pteropus alecto contig78964, whole genome shotgun sequence.